UGGCUCAGUGGUAGAGCGCUUGCCUUGCAUGUAUGAGGCCCUGGGUUCGAUUCCCCAG
rnacentral:tRNA from 1 species